UACGGGGGGGGGCAAGCGUUUGUUCGGAAUUACUGGGCGUAAAGGGCUCGUAGGCGGCCAACUAAGUCGGACGUGAAAUCCCCAGGCUCAACCUGGGAACUGCGUCCGAUACUGGAUGGCUUGAAUUCGGGAGAGGGAUGCAGAAUUCCAGGUGUAGCGGUGAAAUGCGUAGAUAUCUGGAGGAAUACCGGUGGCGAAGGCGGCAUCCUGGACCGACAUUGACGCUGAGGAGCGAAAAGCUAGGGGAGCAAACGGGG
rnacentral:rRNA from 1 species